CGCCGGGGGGGGGCCGGGGGGGGGCCGGGCGGCGCCCCGCGGGCCCCGCCGGGGGGGGGCCCCCCGGCAGGGCGGGGGCCCCGGCCCCGCCCGGCGCC
rnacentral:tRNA from 1 species